GCGUCACAUCCCGAAGCCUUUCUGGGCUGCAGAACAAAACCCCAUCUUCCUUUUCACUGGUUGGAGGAGAGCACAGCCAACACACAGCAGCAGGAUUCGGUCUGAAUUGGCUUCAUGGAGAAUGGUUGGAAAGGACUGGAAAGAGCAGGCCUUUGCCCUUGCCUUUCCGGGAUUUUCUGCAAGAGAGAGAGAGGACAACAACGCAUAUUGAUGCCUGAGAGACUGUGGUGGACUGAAGUGUUGGGACAACCUUACUAUGACGAUGGCUAAAAAUCAACAUGGAUUAAAUGCGAUCUUUCGAGAUUUCUACGAAUUAAAAUGCAGGAGUCAAAAAAAAUGUAUAAUUCCAACCGGUUACUGUUUGAUUAGUUUAUUGUUAAUGAUCGUAUUGUUUGGGAUGAUGACUUGUUACAUUAUGAGGAAGGCAUCAGGCAGUGUUAACAUGAGUGUCUCAACCUUAUCUCAACAACUUCACUGAGGGAUGAUGUGAUUUUAAAGACAGCUGCACAAAUUUACACAACCAUUUUUUUCUUCUGAAAGAUGAAGCAACCAUCGUGACCUGAUUUGCAAAGACACACCCUCGGCAGUGCAUAUUACUGUACAUUGUUAUCUAUAUUAUACAUUAAUGAAAUAUUAUAAAUAUCACAUCUACGCUUUGUAGAACAGUGCAGUGACUCAGCAGAACACGA